UUUUUUCAAUCAAUUCUGCUUAUUCAAGGAGCCCAUCUGCGCAGCCCACGUGCUAACUUGGUGACUCCCGAUAUCCAGAAACACGAGCAAUUCUGAUCGAGGACGAAGCGACUAUGGGCGAGGUGUCCGGUGAGGUGGCAAUUGGGCGUUGAGGCGACAGGCGACGGGGCGCGGCCACGCGAACUGCUGAGACCGCGAGACGAGCAAAGGAGGUCAUGUAGCGGGCUCACAGUGGCCAGCGAUUGUACGCAUCAUGGAGAAGGCAACUAGUAGCAUGGUUCGGAAAGGAAACUGCAAAAAUGAGAGAUUUGAGGAGUUUUUGUCUAAGGAAGAGGCUCAGAUCCAAGUACCCAUAAACAUAUGCACAGACUGCUUUCAAUUCAAAAAUCUUACUUUUGAAUCAA